CCCGCGUGUAAAUAAUUCGCCGGCCGGUUUCGUAGCGAGUGAGAUAUCACGGUGACAUAACAAUGCGCAGCUGGCACGCAUUAUCGCGAAUCUCGUUCGCGCGGAAUGCCGGGUUACGCGCAUGCGCGCCAAAUCUCCGGCCACUUUUCAGGUUAUGUUAACUUUUUUCUCGAUGUAUUUAAAUGCAUCGCUUGCUCAUCAAAGGUUUUUGUUAACCUCGCAUAAAUGAAACUAUGAAAGAUAAAAUAGUUUAUUACGUAAUUUAUCAUUAUGUAGCAGUGUUUUGAUAAAACGUAAAAGGUAAAAUGUAAAACAUUAGUAUGAAUUCGAUAGAUAAAAAUGAAGGUUAAGUUGACAUUUUAACACUUGACCGGUGACAUAUACUUGCUGUUCGUGUUUAUACUGGUACAAUUAUUAAAAUGUGAAAUUGUAUUUGAUGAAUUUUUUGAAUUCAGUUACACGAGACAGGUGGGCAACAAUGUAUAGAACAUACGAAUGUUCAAAAUAACCUCAAAAUAGCGUCACUAACACAAAACUCAUGUGUACGUCUCCGCAACUUCUACUCUUCUCCACAAAACAACUGUCAUAUUUCGGUAGUGCGACGAAGAUAAAUAAAAAUAGAAAGUCGGUGAAUGAUAUACGAAAUAGAAGAAACUUUCCUUUUCCAAUGACCGUAGUGAGGCAACGAUGACCGUGUUAAAAUUCUCCGAGCGUUUGUCGGCCAGGUAUCAAAAGGAUUUCGCGUGGAGAGAAAUAAACUAUGACUAUGACUAUAAACAAGAUGGAUGACUAUAAGCAAGAUGGAUGACUAUGACUAUGGUGCAUGACUAUAAUUAUAACUUUCAAAGUUACACAACAUGAAAGAAAUAAAUUAAUACAUAAAAUGGAUUAACAGAUGAACAGAUAAAUUAGUAGAUUAACAGACCAACACAAGAACGUACUGCAAUAUUGAAUUUACUACUAUGUUGCUACUACGAAUUGAUACAACUUAAGGUUCAGUUUGAUAUCAAUGUAACUAAAUUAGUUUCAAUCAAAUCAAGCUUAAUUACUAUCGAUUUCAAUCAAAGCAAGUUUAAUUACCAUAUACACGUAUUAUACAAGAUAUUCCAGUAAAAUGUAUACGCACGUUGUCGCUGUAUGCAAUUUGAUGAAUAAAAUGAAUGGAAGACUCAAAAUGGCCGCCAUCAAUGCCUUUUGAUGUAAUUUUUAUGGUUGAUGUUCUGAGUGUUUGUGUAUUGCUGUGUAUUCAUCUAUUUAUCUAUGUGUUUAUUUGUAUAAGUAGCUGUCUAUUUAUCUACAUAUU